GCGGGUAUAGUUUAGUGGUAAAACCAAGCUAAUGAUGCGGGUUCGAUUCCCGCUACCCGC
rnacentral:tRNA from 1 species